GCGGGCUAGAGGAGUAACCUAGUCAGAUCCAUGCGGAUUGGAGCCGCACCAAGACCUUGUUGCCUUAGAUAGAGCUUUCCUGCUGCCUUCACCCUUGUAAUAUCCCAUGUAAGACCCUUAUAUCUAUUAAUAGAAAUGUUAGUGUUCAUGAUACUUGUUGUAAACGCGCAUACCAGAGUGAUUUCCUGGGCUGGUAUGUGUGGCGACUGUCUGGCUACAGUGGUAAUCAGGCGGGGUGCCACAAGAAAUGGUAUCAGAGCAGCCAGGCUGACUAUUGGUUACCCUAGCCAGACUUCACUGUCUUGUAUUCAGUAGAAAGCCGAGAUGGAUUUCAGCCAUCUUUGCCACUUGGCACGGCUACUAUUGAUCAUAAGGCAACCACAUAGGUUUUCGGCUCCAUCGACCCUAACUCUCGUGGCUUUUGCCUCCGGUGUGAAAUGCUUGCACCGGGCAAAGACUUGUGAGCCCUGAAACCCCUAGGUAAACCAAAUAUCCUUACCCUGCUUGCUAACCAUGGAAUUUAUCUUCUUACUCUAGUUUCCUUUGGGAAUCGCCUACAAAUUCCAUCUUUCCCCGAUAACCUUAGGAACGUUGACUAAGCCACUUUGGCUCUAGUCCUGCGUCGAGUGUGAUGCUCCCUAAGGAAGUAGUAGGAGCUUGACACCAGUACUACCAGGAGCAUUGUGUAGUUUCGCUUCUAAAUCCUUAGAGGUACAUCAAGUACGCUAUACUAGUUAUAUUAGUGGAUCCUUGGCCCCAUGUGUAAGGUUCGCAAAAAUUUGAGCUUUAUUUGCUUUUUGGUUUUUCGUGUUUCUUGUUUCUUUUGUCGGUUCCGUUUUUCCGCUCUGAAUGGAUCCAUCUAGAAGUGCCAUCAAGAAGACCGGCAUGCAACUAGGGUAAUACCCAAUAAUCCCAAUUCAGCAAGUGUCUUAUCCGGCCAACUACGUGAUAUUCAGAACAUUACCACCGGAUCUGUCAAAAAUGAAGAAUGGGUCAGAAGCAGAAUCGUGUGCAACAAACAAGGCCAGAAUAUACGUGAGAAAGUUGUCCUCUGGACCGAUCAUACCCGAGGAGCAGUCAGAUGAGCUACCAAGAAUGUACAUCACUAAGGACAAAUUAUUUUGUCCGUGAUACAAGGAUUAUUUUAGUUAGUGGGUGAACCCUGAGUUUUCUUUCAAUGGAUCCAAGAACCAUUUAUCACCCACCAAGGACAUAUUUCAAGAAUGUGAAUGAGCCAAAAGUAGCAACCAAACUCUGGUACGUUGGUCCAAAUUUCAAAGCAUAUUUUGAAGUUCACCCAUGCAAAUGCAAAAUUUUCUAGGCACUAUGAACAAGGUUCGCAGGGAAUAUGGAUAAGUUCACGGUCGUCCGAAUCAAGGAGCACCUCACAUGCUUGGAAGUUUAGCUGAACCGAAUGGAAUUAUCUGACAACUGCUUAUAAUCGACAACACAUGGGUUGAAUGCAAAGGGUAUUCUGAAUUAAUUAUCAACAUGAAGCUUGCAUCAGUUUUGCAGCCUUUACAGCAGCGAUGAUCAGACAGUAGAAGGACAAGUGAUGUGCAUGACCAAUGGAAUAUCUUCAAUCAAGGUAUGACCUAUAUCAAGUUUUGACUCUGCUAUGGGUAAAAUUCCGGACACUUCGGAGGCAAGCCAGAAUCGUCCAUUAAUCUGAGGGUGUACAUGAGGCUUCUGGUAUAAGGAACCUAACUUUCCUCUGCAAGCUACCGAGAAGAGCUUACGAUACGAGAGUACCUAUCUUCCUCGGUACACUACUUGGUGAGAAAAGAUUCUAGGGUAUGAUACGUCCAUUUUGCAUCAUGUUUUCAUGUUGAUAUUUAUCGCUUCUUUGGCUGUUAUUUCACUUCGCGGUACAAUUUUUAUGCCUUUUCUCUCUUAUUUUGCAAGGUUUACAUGAAGAGGGAGAAUGUCGGCAAUUGGAAUUCUGGCCUGAAAGUGGAGCAAAGUUGAGAUACCUAUUCUGCGCAACUCCAAAUGCCGUAAAAAUUAACGAGGAUUUUUUUCGGAUUUAUAAAAAAUACUGGGCCGAAGAAGUGCCAGAGGGGCAGCAGGGGUUGGCCACAAGGCUGCACGGCGCCAUGAGGGCUUGUGGGCAGCCUUCUGGCCCACUUGCCCCCCUCUUCUGCUAUAUGAAGGGUUUCGUCUAGAAAAAAAUCAAGGAGGAGAUUUUUCGUGGAUUCGCCGCCGCCACGGGGCGGAACUUGAGCAGAACCAAUCUAGAGCUCCGGUAGGACGAUCCUGCCGGGGAAACUUCCUUCCCGGAGGGGGAAACCAUCGCCAUUUUCAUCACCAACACUCCUCUCAUCGGAGGGGACUCGUCACCAUCAACAUCUUCAUUAGCACCAUCUCAUCUCCAAACCCUAGUUCAUCACUUGUAACCAAUCUCCGUCCCGCGACUCCGAUUGGUACUUGUAAGGUUGCUAGUAGUGUUGAUUACUCUUUGUAGUUGAUGCUAGUUGGAUUAUUUGGUGGAAGAGUUUAUGUUCAGAUCCUUGAUGCUACUCAUUACCUCUCUGGUCAUGAAUAUGAUUAUGAUUUGUGAGUAGUUACUUUUGUUCUUGAGGACAUGGGAUAAGUCAUGCUAAUAGUAGUCAUGUGAAUUUGGUAUUCGUUCGGUAAUUUGAUAUGUUGUAUGUUGUUUUUCCUCUAAUGGUNGAUCCACUAGUUUAAUGCUAUUGCUAGACUUUGUCUUAAUUCUUCUUUCGUAGUUGCGGAUGCUUGCGAGAGGGGUUAAUCAUAAGUGGGAUGCUUGUCCAAGUAAGGGCAGUACCCAAGCGCCGGUCCACCCACAUAUCAAACUAUCAAAGUAACGAACGCGAAUCAUAUGAACAUGAUGAAACUAGCAUGACAAAAAUUCCCGUGUGUCCUCGGGAGCGUUUUUCCUCCUAUAAGACUCUGUCCAGGCUUGUCCCUUGCUACAAAAGGGAUUGGGCCACUUUGCUGCACCGUUGCUACUUUUGUUACUUGUUGCUUGCUACAAAUCAUCUCACCACACAAUCACUUGUUACCGACAAUUUCAGUGCUUGCAGAUUUUACCUUGCUGAAAACCACUUGUCAGAUCCUUCUGCUCCUCGUUGGGUUCGACACUCUUACUUAUCGAAAGGACUACGAUUGAUCCCCUAUACUUGUGGGUCAUCAAGACUCUUUUCUGGCGCCGUUGCCGGGGAGUGAAGUACCUUUUGUAAGUGGAACUUGGUAAGGAAACAUUUAUAUAGUGUGCUGAAAUUUAUUGUCACUUGUCACUAUGGAUACUAAUCCUUUGAGGGGCUUGUUCGGGGUAUCUUCACCUCGAACGGAAGCACGAAUAGUUUCUCCUCAACCUGUUGCACCUACAGAAAAUAUUUUCUUUGAAUUUCCUUUGGGUAUGCUUGAGAAACUGCUGGCUAAUCCUUUUACACGAGAUGGAACAUCACAUCCAGACUUGCAUCUAAUCUAUGUAGAUGAAGUUUGUGGUUUAUUUAAGCUUGCAGGUUUGCCCGAGGAUGAGGUCAAGAAGAAGGUCUUUCCUUAAUCUUUGAAGGAUAAGGCGUUGACAUGGUAUAGGCUAUGUGAUGAUACUGGAUCAUGGGACUACAAUCGGUUGAAAUUGGAAUUUCAUCAAAAGUUUUAUCCUAUGCAUUUAGUACAUCGUGAUCGGAAUUAUAUUUAUAAUUUUUGGCCUCGUGACAGAGAAAGCAUCGCUCAAGCUUGGGGAGGCUUAAAUCAAUGUUAUAUUCAUGCCCCAAUCAUGAGCUCUCGAGGGAAAUUAUCAUUCAGAACUUCAAUGCUCGGCUUUCUCAUGAUGAUCGCACCAUGCUUGACACUUCUUGUACCGGUUCUUUUAUGAAGAGAGAUAUUGACUUCAAAUGGAAUUUAUUGGAGAGAAUUAAAUGCAACUCUGAAGAUUGGGAUCUUGAAGAAGGUAAGGAGUCAGGUAUGAAUUUCACGUUUGAUUGCGUUAAAUCCUUUGUUGAGACAAAUACUUUUUGUGACUUUAGCGCUAAGUAUGGACUUGACUCUGAGAUAGUAGCUUCACUGUGUGAAUCUUUUUCUGCUCAUAUUAAUCUCCCCAAAGAGAAGUGGUUUAAAUAUCAUCCUCCUUUAGAAGUCAAUGUAGUUAAACCCACUCCAGUUGAAGAGAAAGUCAUUGCCUAUAAUGAUCCUGUUGUUCCCAGUGCUUACAUUGAGAAACCACCUUUCCCUGUUAGGAUAAAGGAUCAUUCUAAAGCUUCAACUGUGAUACGUAGAGGCUAUAUUAAAACACCUACACCCCGUGAGCAAAUUAGAUUUGAACCUAGCAUUGCUACUAUCAAAGAUCUUCUGUCCGACGAUGUUGAGGGACAUAAUGUUCACUUCUGUGAAGAUGCUGCUAGAAUUGCUAAACCUCACGCUAGAGACAAACAUAGGCAUGUUGUUGGCAUGCCUGUGGUUUCUGUUAGGAUAGGAGAUCAUUGUUAUCAUGGUUUAUGUGACGUGGGUGCUAGUGUUAGUGCAAUAACUCAAUCCUUAUAUGAUGAAAUCAAAGAUGAGAUUGCACCUGUUGAGAUAGAGCCUAUUGAUGUCACUAUUCAGCUUGCCAAUAGAGAUACUAUAUGCCCUGUGGGAAUUGUUAGGGAUGUUGACGUCUUGUGUGGUAAAACGAAGUAUCCUGCUGAUUUCCUCGUUCUUGCUACCGCACAAGAUAGCUAUUGUCCCAUCAUAUUUGGUAGAUCUUUUCUCAAUACCGGCAAUGCUCAUAUUGAUUGUGAGAAGCAAACUGUCACUUUUGGCUUUGAAGGUGUGUCACAUGAGUUCAAUUUCUCUAAGUUUGGUAGACAACCUCAUGAAAAGGAGUUGCCUAGUAGGGAUGAAACUAUUGUCAUAGCUUCUAUUGUCGUGCCUCCUACUGAUCCCUUAGAGCAAUACUUGCUUGAGCAUGAAAAUGAUAUGCAUAUGGAUGAAAGGGAUGAGAUAGAUAGAGUUGUCUUAGAACAAUAUCCUAUCCUUAAGAAUAACUUGCAUGUUGAACUGCUUGGGGAUCCACCCCCACCAAAGGGUGAUCCUGUGUUCGAGCUUAAACAGUUGCCUGAUACUCUUAAGUAUGCCUAUCUUGAUGAAAAAGAGAUAUAUCAUGUUAUAAUUAGUGCUAGCCUCUCAGAGCAUGAAGAAAAGAAGUUACUAAAAACUCUUAGGAAGCACCGUGCUGCUAUUGGAUAUACUCUUGAUGAUCUUAAGGGCAUUAGUCCUACCCUAUGCCAGCACAAGAUUAAAACUGAUCCUGACUUCAAACCAGUUGCUGAUCAUCAAAGGAGAUUAAAUCCUAAGACGAAAGAAGUAGUGAGAAAAGAAAUACUAAAGCUCCUGGAAGCAGGUAUCAUUUAUUCUGUUGCUCACAGCGAUUGGGUGAGUCCGGUGCAUUGCGCCCCUAAGAAGGGAGGCAUUACCGUUGUCCCUAAUGAUAAGGAUGAAUCAAUCCCAUAGAGGAUUAUUACUCGCUAUAGGAUGGUGAUCGAUUUUAGGAAAUUGAAUAAAGCCACUAGGAAAGAUCAUUACCCUUUGCCUUUUAUCGACCAAAUGCUAGAAAGGUUGUCCAAACACACACACGUCUGCUUUCUAGACGGUUAUUCUGGUUUCUCCCAAAUACCAGUUGCACAAUCUGAUUAGGAGAAAACCACUUUCACCUGUCCUUUCGGUACCUUUGUUUAUAGACGUAUGCCUUUUGGCUUAUGUAAUGCACCUGCCACUUUUCAAAGAUGUAUGAUGGCUAUAUUCUCUGACUUUUGUGAAAAGAUUGUUGAGGUUUUCAUGGAUGACUUCUCCGUUUACGGGUCUUCCUUUGAUGAUUGCCUCAGCAACUUUGAUCGAGUCUUGCAGAGAUGUAAAAACACCAAUCUUGUCUUGAAUUGGGAGAAGUGCCACUCUAUGGUUAAUGAAGGCAUCGUCUUAGGACAUAAAAUUUCUGAAAGAGGUAUUGAAGUCGAUAAGGCUAAGGUUGAUCCUUGGCCAUGCUAGUUUCUAUAGAAGGUUCAUUAAAGACUUCUCUAAGAUUUCUAGGCCUCUUACCAAUAUCUUGCAAAAGGAUAUUCCUUUUGUCUUUGACGAUGAUUGUGAGGAAGCCUUCGAAAUACUUAAGAGGGCUUUGAUAACUGAUCUAUUGUUCAACCACCUGAUUGGAACUUACCUUUUUAGAUCAUGUGUGACGCUAGUGAUUAUGCUGUUGGUGCUGUUCUAGGGCAAAGAGUCGAUAAGAAGUUGAAUGUUAUUCACUAUGCUAGAAAAACUCUAGACAGUGCCCAAAGAAACUAUGCCACUACGGAGAAGGAAUUUUUAGCAGUCGUAUUUGCAUGUGAAAAGUUCAGGUCUUACAUAGUUGAUUCCAAAGUCACUAUUCACACUGAUCAUGCUGCUAUUAAGUACCUCAUGGAGAAGAAAGACGCUAAACCUAGACUUAUCAGAUGGGUUCUCUUGCUACAAGAAUUUGAUUUGCACGUUGUCGACAGAAAGGGUGUUGAUAACCCAGUAGCAGAUAACUUGUCUAGGUUGGAGAACGUUCUUGAUGACCCACAACCUAUUGAUGAUAGCUUUCCCGAUGAGCAAUUGAAUGUCAUCAAUGCUUCACGUAGUGCAUCGUGGUAUGCUGAUUAUGCAAACUAUAUCAUUGCCAAAUAUAUACCACCUAGUUUCACGUACCAACAAUAGAAGAAAUUUUUCUUUGACUUGAGACAUUACUUUUGGGAUGAGCCUCACCUUUAUAAGAAAGGAGUAGAUGGUGUUAUUAGACGUCGUGUACCUGAACAUGAACAUGAACAGAUCCUACAGAAGUGUCACUCCGAGGCCUACGGAGGACACCAUGCGGGAGAUAGAACUGCACACAAGGUAUUGCAAUCAGGUUUCUAUUGGCCCAUUCUCUUCAAGGAUGACCGUAAGUUUGUCUUGUCUUGUGAUGAAUGUCAAAGAAUAGGUAAUAUUAGCAAAUGUCGGGAAAUGCCUAUGAACUAUUCACUUGUCAUUGAACCAUUUGAUGUUUGGGGCUUUGAUUAUAUGGGACCUUUUCCAAAAUCCAACGGUAUACUCAUAUCCUAGUUGUUGUUGAUCACGUCACUGAGUGGGUAGAAGCUAUCCCCACUAGUAGUGUUGUUCACAACACCUCUAUCGGGAUGCUGAAAGAAGUUAUCUUCCCUAGAUUUGGAGUCCCUAGAUAUCUAAUGACCGACGGUGGUUCACACUUCAUUCAUGGUGCUUUCCGUAAAACGCUUGCUAAGUACAAUGUCAACCAUAGAAUUGUGUCUCCCUAUCACCCUUAGUCCAGUGGUCAAGUAGAUCUAAGUAAUAGAGAGAUUAAACUGAUUCUGCAAAAAACUGUCAACAGGUCUAGAAAGAAUUGGUCUAAGAAGCUCGAUGAUGCACUGUGGGCUUAUAGAACUGCCUAUAAGAAUCCCAUGGGCAUGUCUCCGUACAAAAUUGUGUACGGUGAAUCAUGCCAUUUACCUCUUGAGCUAGAGCAUAAAGCUUAUUGGGCAAUCAAGAGCUCAACUUUGAUUUCAAACUUGCCGGUGAAAAGAGGUUAUUUGAUAUUAGCUCGCUUGAUGAGUGGAGAACUCAGGCAUAUGAGAAUGCCAAGCUGUUCAAAGAGAAGGUUAAGAGGUGGCAUGAUAAGAGGAUACAAAAGCGUGAGUUCAAUGUAGGUGAUUAUGUCUUGCUAUAUAACUCUCGUUUAAGAUUCUUUGCACGCAAGCUUCUCUGUAAAUGGGAAGGUCCCUAUGUUGUUGAGGAAGUAUAUCGUUCCGGUGCUAUCAAGAUCAACAACACGGAAGGUAAUUGUCCGAGAAUUGUAAAUGGGCAGAGAAUCAAGCAUUAUAUCUCAGGUACUCCCAUAAAUGUUGAAAGCAAUAUUAUCAAUACCAUAACUCCGGAAGAAUACCUAAGGGAUAUUUAUCAGCCUGUUUCAGACUCCGAAAAUGAAGAGGUAUGUGAUUCGGUAAGAAAACAGAGUCCAAAACUUUUCCACUAGGAAAUUUUCUCCGUUUUGGAAUAUUUGAAAAAAUACAAAAAUUGGAAGUAGUCUGGAAAGUGCGCGAGGAGGCGACAAGCCUGCACGGCGCGGGCCCACCCCCUGGCCGCGCCGUGAGGGCUUAUGGCCACCUCGUGCGCCUCCCAGACUCUGUUUUCAUGCGGGAUACUCCUUCUGGUCUGAAAAAAUCAUUAUAUAUACUUCCGUUUGGUCUGACCCCUGCAUGACGCAGAUUUCCUCUGUUUCUCGUUUCGAGCCUGUUUUCUGCCGCAGAUCUAGGUCAAGAUGUCUUCUCAGGAUUCAUAGGGGGGAAAGCUAUGUGGCAGAUUACUUGCUGACCCCAAAGUCUAUGGGGACUUGGAUCCUUAUGGCUGGACCACUGAUGAGGAGGAAGAUUAUGAUCCCAAGGGGAAGGAAUAAACAAGUUUCGAUGAAGAGGAGGCUCCUCUACCUCAACCUGGACACACGCAUGUGGACUUCAAGAAGUCAAGCCUCCCUGACUCAAGGAAGAAGCCUAAGACUUUUUAUUAUCCCUUCACGUUUCUUGCAGGAGAGUAAGCAGGAAUUAUGCCAAAGGGUGUUGAAGCUUGAAGAGGAAAAUGAUGAUUUGAGGGAGCAGAAUUUUAUGCUCAAGUGGAAAUUAAACAAGCUCAAGACCUCUUCAACAACUCCACCACCUUCACCACCAAAGGAAGACAACUGAGCAUUGGUAUGGGCAAUCCCCUUGGCUGGUGCCAAGCUUUGGGGAGUUGCCCCGGUAUCGUAUCACCGUCACAUCUUUUGCCUUUACCUUUGUUUUAGUUUUCCUUUUUCAGUUUUCUCUUUCUCUGGUAGUUUAAAAGUCUUAGUGUUUUAGUCUUGAGUUUUGCUUUGUGUCACCCCCGAUGUAUUCGAGCUCGUGAGCCAUAUAAUAAAGAGUGUCUUAGUUGAAGGGCUUUGCCUCUUGCCGUGAUCAAAAGAGUGAGAAUAGAACAAAAGCAUGAAAGAGCAUGUAAUGAUCCUAUGGGAAGUGAUGGAUUCACAUAUAAAAAGGAUGAUGAUUGAAACUUGUUGAGGGUAGGCAAACAUAGACCUUGGUCAUGGUUGCAAUUAAUAGGAAGUGAUAAAGAAGGAGAGGUUCACAUAUAAAUAUAUCAUCUCUGACACCAUCUAUGAUUGUGAACACUCACUAAACUAUUGCAUGCCUAGAAGUAGAUGUUGGACAAGGAAGACAACAUAAUGAAUUGUGUUUGCUUGGUUCCGAACAAUGUUAUAUGAUUAGAGAUCCCUUAGCAUGUGACGAUUGCUUCCACCUUAUAUUAGCCAAAACCUCCCGCACCAAGUAGAUAUACUACUUGUGCAUCCAUAAACCUUCAAACCAGUUUUGCCAUGAGUGUCCACCAUACCUACCUAUGGAUUGAAUAACAUCCCUCAAGUAAGUUGUCAUCGGUGCAAGCAAUAAAAAUUUCUUUCUAAUAUGUAUGAUCUAUUAGUGUGUGGAAAAUAAGCUUUGUACGAACCUGUGAUGAGGAAGACAUAAAAGCGACAGACUGCAUAAUAAAGUUCUUUAUCACAGGAGGCAAUAUAAAGUGACGUUCCUCCGCACUAAGAGGACACGCAUCCAAACCUCAAAAGCGCAUGACAACCUCUGCUUCCCUCUACGAAGGGCUUAUCUUGUACCUUUACUUUUUGCCCUUGAAAGAGUCAUGGUGAUCUUCACCAAUUCCUUGUUUUGCCUUUAUCUUGGCUAACGUCGUAUGCUUGAGAAAGAUCUAUAUUCAUAUGUCAACUUGGAGGUAAGUAUUCAUGAAUUAUUAUUGUUGACAUUACCCUUGAGGUAAGUAGUUGGGAGGCAAAACUGUAAGCCCCUAUCUUUCUCUGUGUCCAGCUGAAACUUUCAUCUCAUGAGUACCACGUGAGUUGUAGCAAUUGUAGAGAACGAAAGAAUGAUUGAGUAUGUGGAUUUUCUUUACAAGCUCUUAUUUGACUCUUUCUGAUGUUGUGAUAGAUUGCAAUUUCUUCAAUGACUAAAGGCUAUCGGUUGUUACUUCUCGAUAAGGUUCUUGAUCCAUGCUUUACUUUGUGAAGGAAUUAUCACUUUAGCAUGAGAGAUUAUAUGUUGGUAUUACUGUUCUGACCAUGAUCAUGAUGCAUGCAUGUUCGUAUCUUGUUUUGUCAACACCUCUCUCCCUAAACAUGUUCGUAUCCCUAAACAUGCGAGGUCUAAGCUUGGGGGAGUUGAUACGUCCAUUUUGCAUCAUGUUUUCAUGUUGAUAUUUAUCGCUUCUUUGGCUGUUAUUUCACUUCACGGUACAAUUCUUAUGCCUUUUCUCUCUUAUUUUGCAAGGUUUACAUGAAGAGGGAGAAUGCCGGCAACUGGAAUUCUGGCCUGAAAGUGGAGCAAAGUUAAGAUACCUAUUCUGCGCAACUCCAAACGCCGUAAAAAUCAACAAGGAUUUUUUUCCGGAUUUAUAUAAAAUACUGGGCCGAGGAUGUGCCAGAGGGGCGCCAGGGGUUGGCCACAAGCCUGCACGGCGCGGCCACCCCCCCCCCCCCCCACCCCGCGCCCAAACGGCUGGUGGGCGGCCCGCCGCCCCCCCCCCCCCCCCCCAAGCUGUGCCAUAAGGGCUUGUGGGCAGCCUGCUGGCCCACUUGCCCCCCUCUUCUGCUAUAUGAAGGGUUUUGUCCGGAAAAAAUCAAGGAGGAGCUUUUUCGUGGAUUCACCGCCACCACGGGGCGGAACUUGAGCAGAACCAAUCUAGAGCUCCGGCAGGACGAUCCUGCCGGGGAAACUUCCCUCCCGGAGGGGGAAAUCGUCGCCAUCGUCAUCACCAACACUCCUCUCAUCGGAGGGGACUCGCCACCAUCAACAUCUUCAUCAGCACCAUCUCAUCUGCAAACCCUAGUUCAUCACUUGUAACCAAUCUCCAUCUCGCGACUCCGAUUGGUACUUGUAAGGUUGCUAGUAGUGUUGAUUACUCUUUGUAGUUGAUGCUAGUUGGAUCAUUUGGUGGAAGAGUUUAUGUUCAGAUCCUUGAUGCUACUCAUUACCUGUCUGGUCAUGAAUAUUAUUAUGCUUUGUGAGUAGUUACUUUUGUUCCUGAGGACAUGGGAUAAGUCAUGCUAAUAGUAGUCAUGUGAAUUUGGUAUUCGUUCGGUAAUUUGAUAUGUUGUAUGUUGUUUUUCCUCUAGUGGUGUUAUGUGAACGUCGACUACAUAACACUUCACCAUUAUUUGGGCCUAGAGGAAGGCAUUGGGAAGUAGUAAGUAGAUGAUGGGUUGCUAGAGUGACUGAAGCUUAAACCCUAGUUUAUGUGUUGCUUCGUAAGGGGCUGAUUUGGAUCCACUAGUUUAAUGUUAUGUUAGACUUUGUCUUAAUUCUUCAUUCGUAGUUGCGGAUGCUUGCGAGAGGGGUUAAUCAUAAGUGGGAUGCUUGUCCAAGUAAGGGCAGUAGCCAAGCGUCGGUCCACCCACAUAUCAAACUAUCAAAGUAAGGAACGCGAAUCAUAUGAACAUGAUGAAACUAGCAUGACAGAAAUUCCCGUGUGUCCUCGGGAGCGUUUUUCCUCCUAUAAGACUUUGUCUAGGCUUGUCCCUUGCUACAAAAGGGAUUGGGCCACUUUGCUGCACCGUUGCUACUUUUGUUACUUGUUGCUUGCUACGAAUCAUCUCACCACACAAUCACUUGUUACCGACAAUUUCAGUGCGUGCAGAUUUUACCUUGUUGAAAACCACUUGUUAGAUCCUUCUACUCCUCGUUGGGUUCGACACUCUUACUUAUCGAAAGGACUCCGAUUGAUCCCCUAUACUUGUGGGUCAUCAGGGUACGGCACUCCCAUCUUCUACAGCGGGCUAUCGCGGAAGACUUCCGGCAUACGGCAUCCAACCUUUCUUAGCAAGCCACAUAAAGGAAAGCUUUUGAGGUAUGAUGCCCCGCCUUCUUCAGCACGUUACCCUCACAGAAGCUUCGAGCAUAAGGAAUUCAGUCUUGUUCAACACGCCAUCGUGCCUACAACAAGCUUGUUAGGAGCACGAACCAGUUUGGACACACAUCCGCCUCAGAGCCCAGUGGUUAUGAAAGGAUUUAUCCUACACUUGCAUAUAUUGUGAGCAUGCAGUCUAGUGGAUCAGUUCACGCGAACCACUCGUACACGGGAAUGAAUGUGUUCAGAGCAACUUUGGCCCCAUAUUUAAAAGAAGAAUAUGAGGACAUCAACCACUGCGAGGUAUGCAAGAGUAAGUUAUAUAUGAGAACAAGCCCGACAAACCGAGAAAACCAUCAAGGAGCCGUGUUGGCAGGUUAUUACAAGUCCAUCAAAGGAGUCCUUAAGAACAAAGGAUUGGUGGAAAGCACAACCUUUGUGACGGACAACAAGAUACAACUUCACAAACAGAGAGGUAUUACCGAUUCUUGUCAGACUCUUGUGUAUGCGGUCACAACAAUGCACUACUUGCGGUUACAAGUGAGUUUGCCACACUCAUCAUGAAUACGGGCCAUCAACCCAGAUAAGAGGCUAUGCCCUGAAAGGAUGUAUUACCCAUGACAGUUAAGGUACGAAGCAUUACAAUAAAGCCCGAAGCAGAUACUUUCACGCCCUGGAAACAAAGAUGUUUGUUGGUAGUACCCUCUACCGCACCCUGCAACACCACUAUCAGAUUUAAGGGUACACCUGACAGGAAAGAGAAGGAUUCAAGAUUGCUAUGUGCAGAGACAACACCUGGUCCCUCCGAAGAGGCAGUUAAAGGGUCAGAGAACCAACGAAGACAGGACAACUGAUGCAUCUAAGUCGCACACAGGUAAGUCCCCCUUCCCCGGGAGGUAAGAUUGGAAAUCUCGAGGACGCGAUUUUCUUAAGGGGGUAGGUUUGUAACACCCUAGUUUUCGCUUCCUGUUCUUUUUUCCUUUGAGGGAUUUGACUCCCGUCUUUUUUCUCGGUUUAUCGGAUUUCUCUAGCUCUUGGGUAUAUGAAGAUGGUCAUUUAGUCUUGCCUUCCUAUCCGACCAGAUAUUUUCUCCAGUCCAACCUUGCCACCUAGGAUCUAUUCUUAGGGUUUUGCCGUCAAAACCCUACCCUCCGAGUUGCCGGAAGGGAAACCCUAAUUCUUCUAGUUACAAAGGAACCCCCUUUUUUCCUUUGAUCUGUUGCCUCCCAAACUUUUCCCAGCGAUCAUCCUUCAUCUUUAGACCCUGGAUAUGCAAAAAUAUUCCCAAGUCAUUUGCAAUAUUUUUCAUUUAUAAUUAAUUACUUUUUCUGUCACGUAAAGGAAUUAAAUCCAGGAAAAUAUCUAUCCAUCUCCGGAGUUCAUGAAAACUUGUGGAUAUAUUCUUUGUAAUCAUCUUGAGCUCCCAUAAAAUAUUGGUCGUUAUUAAAUGGGGAAAAUUGCCUUUUUCCUAUUUAAAGCCAAUAUUGCAUUUUGGGCAGUUUCUAAAGGAACUACCAUUUUGGUAGCCAGGAUAAAUCCCAAAAAGGUUGUGGAGCUUCUCAUAUCCAUAUCUUCACCAUUUCCAUCAAAAUAUCAAGUUCCAUAAUUCAAAUUUUGAGCACCGCACCCCUUUGCAAAUUAUGUCCAGAUUUUCUGUUUGCAAAGGAAGUGCUUGGUUCCUUGAUCUCCUUGGGCUGAAAUUUUGCAGGGUGAUACACUAUAAGAUAUUACCCUUGGACACCAAAAUUAAGCUCAUUCCCUUUAGCCAAUCUUCCUCAGGAAAUUAUCCAAGUUUCUAUCCAGAUUGGAGCACUCUGAAGGAAGUACCAUUUCUACUUAUGCAAUUGGUAUGAAAUUUUUACAGUGCAUGCAUAUGCCUAAAUAAUUGGUCUCCACCAAAUUUGGACCAUCUGCAUGUAGCCAUUUGACCCCAGCGUCUUCAUCUUCAUUCCUGGUCAGAUUGCGAGUUUGUAAAGGAGAUGCCAUGUAGACUGGUUUAUUGGAGCUAAAACUUUAUUAAAUUGGCCACCUUAGUAGAUGAUUGACCCUUGCCCAAAAUCAGGCCGAGAGGUGCACUAUGAUGUCACUGCACAGCACAAACACAUGGCUGCCACCUGUUGCUUGACCCAGGUGCAGUUACACCAGAGCUGACUUUUCUUGCUUGAGGGGUCAAGUCAUCUCAGUGCAGAGUGGAGAACAGCCUAGACAAGUUUUGGCUUCGUCUAGGGCGUGGAAAGGCCCGUGGCCACGUGGUGACGACGAGCAGAGCGUGCCAAAACCGCGCCAUGUGCGCUAGAGUCUUCGGGAGCCCUCCCUGGCACGCCAUGGCUUGACCGGUGUUAGGAAAAUAAGACCGUGGCGAUGAACCUGGCGUGCCCGGAGCGCGUAUGGGCGCGCACCAGACGUGUCGGGUGCAUCGGGCGCACGGUGCAGGCGUAAGUGUGUAGGUGUGUGUGGUGCACGGGGGUGCACGGGCGCGCGCGCACCACGCGCGGGUAUGUAGGAGAAGGCCGUUGGCGAGCGGGCGCGGCGAUCGCAGGAGGAUCCAGUGCAGCGUGCGUGGACUGGGCGCGGCAGAGCGCGUCCUGGGCGCGCGAGGCGGGCGGAUCAGCGAGGGCGAGUGGAGGCGUGGGUUCGUGCCCAGCGCGCCGGCUCGGUUAUAAAGCCGUGUAGGACAUCGUUGUAAUGGCAGGGGAUGUAUCGAGUUCGUGCUCGAGGAAUCAAACAGGUAGCGUUCGUGCGCUGGAACCCUAGGUCUACCCCGUCUACCCCUUCUUUCUUCUUCCUGUGUUCGUCGGAUCGAGUAGCAGCGAGCACCAGCACGUAGAGGAGAGCACGCCGGCUAGGGUAGACACCUUCAACCGGGAGCAUCGGGGAGCUGCCCGCCGCGUGCGCAAGCCCUCUGGAACCCUCUCCCCCUCGUCCCCUAGCUCCCUGGCCGGGUGUGCCGACAGGAGGUGCUCCGCCCGAGCGCCGCCACGGCGACGAGCUCUCGAAGCUCCGGCCGUCGUCGCGUAGCCCCUUCCCUAGACUAUUUAAGGCAAGCCUCGAGCCCUGCCUCGCCACCAGCAAGACCAGCUCCUCCGAAUCGAGCCCCAGAGCUGCCUCCCCACCACAAUGGCCGAAGCCCCGCCGCCACUCCCCUCGCCCACUCCAGCGCCCCGGCUCUCCCCUCCUCUUUGCCCGCGGGCGCCGCCUCCCCUAUGUCUCGCCGAGCCACCGCCGUCUCUGUUUUAGCUAGGGAAGUGCUGCCGGAGCAGCACCCCUGGCGCCCAUCCGCCGCCGCCUGCCGGUCAAUGGCUUGAGUGCUACCGGCUAACUCCCGAGCCCUGGCGACCACCUGCGGACGCGGCCGAGCACCGCGAGCUUGCCCCGCCCCUCCACGGGCGCCGUUGUGGCCCCGCGUGUCGGCAUCAAGCCCGGCUAGCGCCGGCUCUAUUCUCUGUCGCGGUGGAGAAGAAGACAGGAGGAAGGAGAGAGAGAUGGUGGGCCCCGCGUGUAAGCCUCAUAGACGUUGACCCACCCCAGGGCCGCUGGCUUAAGUGGAAACGCAUUUGGCUGAAUACGCUUUACCUCCUCUGAAUACGUAUUUCUCAGAGUGCGCUUCCUUUUUUAACCUCAGCCGGCUAAAACGGUUAGAUUGUGGACCUUCACCGGUUUAGAGACAAAAUGAAUACAUUAUUAUUUAUUUUCUACCUAAACAACGAGAUCCUUCUCUUUCCAAAACUUUUUAACCGUGACUCCGAUCGCGCCCUCUUCGAGAGAGAACAGUUUCCGGCCAUUCGUUCCACGGACUCUUCGCACUUCUUCCCGGAGUAUUAUUCAACCUGAGGCGAGCCAACCUUCUGAUAUAUGCCCUACAACACUGCUCUGUGCUAUUCUUGUAUGUUUAAUUAAUGAUUAUGCCAUGAUACAAAUAACUAAACUUCUGUUAGAUUACACUUAUUGCUUGCAUUACUCUCAUUUACUCGCCAUAUAACAAUUCAUAGUAAAUAAUUUAAAUGCCUAGUUACUGCCCUCAACAUUUAUUGUGGUAUACCACAUGCUCACUUAAUGCAACGUAGUCGGUUGAUCUAGAGUCACGUGGUCGGGCUUAUCCGUGCAGCCACAUUUGCCGAUAUAGGACGACCUUCACUUGGUCUGUUCACAUGCUCUUCUACCGGUACCAUCAGACAGGGAAGGUUAUGCGCGCGUGCUACCCUGGUCCGGUGGGCGGCGAUAACCUUGUGAGCUAGUUGAUUGUUUUGUGAAAACGUCCCCGUUUGGGACAGUUUAGUUUGGCCACGACAGUGGCAGGUGUCAUGACGACAUAGGACCACCCAGGACAGGACUCCGGGGGAGGAUGAAUGCCAGUGGUACGAUGGGAGAGUCACGGGUCAGGCAGGUUUCGUUGGAGCAAUGUUGGUCAGUGCUCCAUGAUGUGGGUAAAGUGUGCAACCUCUGCAGAGUGAAAAAUCUAUUCGAAUAGCCGCAUCCACGGUAUUGGACAGCCUGUCCAGACCUCACUAGGUGAUCAACCGUGUAUCGCUGAUAAUAAUGAUGGAAGAACUCGUCUUGUGCAGACAUCAGUUAAUGUCAGGAAUAUGACAUGUUGGUCAUGGAAUGGCUAUGAGAUGAGUGGUCGGAUGAGCACAUGAGUUGGAUUGGAUUUGGAUCAGAUUCAGAUUUGAUCGUGAGGAUAUUCGGAGAAUAAAUCAUUUACUUAAUAUGCUUUACUUUCUCGUAUUUACUUUAGUAGUUAUCUUGCUGCAUAAUCCUGUUAUAUCAUGAUAUUUAAUCCUGCUAGAUAGGUAAGCUAUGCCAUGAUAAUUAAUAUUGCUCUAAUAUCAAGUUCAUGCUGGAAUGCCAUGGAUUGCUUUGCUUAGUGUAUAUGUUAGUUUGGUUUGCUUGCGAGUACAUUCAAAAGUACUCAGCGGCCUUUAACAUGGCCAGGUUCACAUAAGGAUCCGUCGUUCGUCGUCAAGGAGCUAGAGUGUUCGCAGGCUAGAGGAGUAACCAAGUCAGAUCCCUGUGGAUUGGAGCCGCACCAAGACCAUGCUACCUUAGAUAGAGGUUUCCUCCUGCCUUCACCCUUGUAAUAUCCCAUGUAAGACCCUUAUAUCUAUUAAUAGAAAUGUCGGUGUUCAUGAUACUUGUUGUAAACGUGCAUACCAGAGUGAUUUCCUGGGCUGGUAUGCGUGGUGACCGUCUGUCUACAGUUGUAAUCAGGCGGGGCGCCACAAUGGCCAAAGACAUGAUAUGAUAUAUUGGACGUAUGAGAUGAUCAUGUUGUAAUAAGUUACAUACCGACUUGCACGUCGAUGCUACGGCAACCGGCAGGAAACAUAGGGUUGUCUUUAAUUAUUUUGGGCUUGGAGAUGCUUUGCUUUAUCGCUAGUAGUAGUUUAGUAGUAACAACAUAGUUAGCGCGACAACCUCUAUGGCAGCACAAUGAUGGAUAUCAUGGUGUGGUGCCGGUGACAAUGGAGAUCAUGCUGGUGCUUUGAUGAUGGAGAUCAAGAAGCACAAGUUCAUGGCCAUAUCAUGUCACUUAUGAUUUUCAUGUGAUGAUAAUCCUUUUAUGCACCUUGUUUUGCAUAGGACGACUCUAGCAUUAUAAGGUGAUCC
rnacentral:lncRNA from 1 species